UGGCAGGUACANAGGGAUGCUACCGGGCGACCGGAUGCGGAUCUCGAAAGCCUGUCCCAGUUCGGACUGGAGUCUGCAACCCGACUCCACGAAGUUGGAUUCGCUAGUAAUCGCGCAUCAGCCAUGGCGCGGUGAAUACGUUCCCGGGCCUUGUACACACCGCCCGUCAAGCCAUGGGAGCCGGGGGCGCCUGAAGUCCGGGACCGCGAGGACCGGCCUAGGGCGAAACUGGUAACUGGGGCUAAGUCGUAACAAGGUACC
rnacentral:rRNA from 1 species